rnacentral:rRNA from 1 species
AGACCCGAAACCCGGUGAUCUAGCCAUGGGCAGGUUGAAGGUUGGGUAACACUAACUGGAGGACCGAACCGACUAAUGUUGAAAAAUUAGCGGAUGACCUGUGGCUGGGGGUGAAAGGCCAAUCAAACCGGGAGAUAGCUGGUUCUCCCCGAAAGCUAUUUAGGUAGCGCCUCGUGAAUUCAUCUCCGGGGGUAGAGCACUGUUUCGGCUAGGGGGCCAUCCCGGCUUACCAACCCGAUGCAAACUGCGAAUACCGGAGAAUGUUAUCACGGGAGACACACGGCGGGUGCUAACGUCCGUCGUGAAGAGGGAAACAACCCAGACCGCCAGCUAAGGUCCCAAAGUCAUGGUUAAGUGGGAAACGAUGUGGGAAGGCCCAGACAGCCAGGAUGUUGGCUUAGAAGCAGCCAUCAUUUAAAGAAAGCGUAAUAGCUCACUGGUCGAGUCGGCCUGCGCGGAAGAUGUAACGGGGCUAAACCAUGCACCGAAGCUGCGGCAGCGACGCUUAUGCGUUGUUGGGUAGGGGAGCGUUCUGUAAGCCUGUGAAGGUGGCCUGUGAGGGUUGCUGGAGGUAUCAG